rnacentral:rRNA from 1 species
UACGGGGGGGGCAAGCGUUGUUCGGAAUUACUGGGCGUAAAGGGCGCGUAGGCGGCCACCGCAAGUCGAUUGUGAAAUCUCCGGGCUUAACCCGGAAAGGUCAACCGAUACUGCGGGGCUAGAGUGCAGAAGGGGCAACUGGAAUUCUCGGUGUAGCGGUGAAAUGCGUAGAUAUCAGGAGGAACACCGGUGGCGAAGGCGGGUCUCUGGGCCGAUACUGACGCUGAGGAGCGAAAGCGUGGGGAGCAAACAGG